rnacentral:lncRNA from 1 species
GGCGGAGAUUUUUUAUAUAUCAUUGAAAACUAACAGAUUAUUUAUAUUCUUUGACCUGAUGAAUAUCAUAUUCACAAAAAUUUGACCAGUGCCAUUCAAAGACUGCCCUCAAGGAGCCCAAAUUGCCCAAAAAGAAAACCUUGAUGAAUAUGUCUAGGUUAAAUUUAUUUUCCUCAAAUUAGUUGUGACAUGCAAAACAUUCCCUUUUAUCUUUUUCCAAUCAUUUCAAGCUCAGAAUAAGUUUAGAU